ensembl:lncRNA
AUUUUAGCUAAUUAAAUAAUGCUAGAGUGUCUUAGAAACUACAAAAGCAAACGAAACCACACGGCAGUCACACUAUAUUUGUUAAGACCACUUGUGUAUUUCUGAGAUGUUUAGAAAAUUGAAGUCUGCAUAACAAAACUUUUAAAGAGAGUCAGAGGCUCAAAAUGCUGUGGCUGGCAUAAUUGGAAAGGUAGGAGAAGAACAACUGAAAGAGAAUUUUCAUAAAAAUAAUCAUUGUUCAGGAUAUGAAUGGGGAGAGAAUAGAAUUGUUUCCCUAGGUAUGGUAUAGCAGCUUAACGGUUCUGAAAAUUGUGUAUUGUAUGUGCGUGCAUGUGUGUGUUUCACACUAUGUCACAUGUGUUAUUUACAGGAUGGAAUUGCUAUUUCUAGGCCAGAGAAUCAGCAUUAACUAUAUAUUAUAUUUAGGUAUGAAUGAAAGCUGAUCUCUAGCAUCCUCUUUCAUUUUUGGGGGACAAGAUGGCUGCUGUGAUCUGUGAACAUGCUCUUGCAGACAGUGAGGUCCUCCAUCAGUGCUUCUUAGAACCCGAGGACAAGACAACUGCCAUGCAGCCAAUCCUUGCUCUGGAUGCAAGCCUAGCAGGCUCUAGUGUCAUUCUAGUCAUUCCUCUGCAAAACACUAUAGUGGCAUAUGGGAUCUUGAAUUUUCCUGUAAAAAUGUAUUUGUAAGCACUGGAUCUAGAGGACUAUUGGUUAAUAAUUAAGAGGGAGACAGAGAGAGAGUGUGUGUGUGUGUGUGCACAUGUGUGUGUGCAUGUGUGUGUGUAUUCCAAUACAUAAGGUGAUUUAUAAAAUACAAUACUGUCAAAAAAAAGUCUCUUUUAAUGCCCUAAGACUUAAGAGAGCUACAGUCUUUUGCUUUGUUUUUAUUUUGUUUGUGGUUUAAUUUUAAAAUAGUCUCUUCUAAGUCAUUAAGACAAAUAUAUACAAUAGAGAGAGUCCAGGACUGUGAGGCAAGAGAACUAAGUUUAACCCUGGCAUCUGGCUGGCUAACACUUAACAAUUCAUUCUAUCCUUCAAUGGAAGACUAAACUAAGCUGAACAUACACUGUUAAGUUUUAUUUCAACUAUAAAACUAUGCCUACUGAAUAUUUAUAGCCAGGUUUGUGCCUACGAAGAAUGAAGGAAUUUGUAAAGGAAUUUUAGUUCAAUAUCUUCAUGGUUUUAAUAAUCUGAGCCACUUUCUCACUUCACCACUAAGCUUAGAGAGACUUGGGUUUGCGCUGUCUCACCUCCGACAGGCCUCUUGAAAUGUUGAUCAGACCUUCAGCAGGAGCAGUCGAGUAGUAAUCAUUGUGAUUAGUGGGAACUAAUAUUUAAGAACCUGCCCUGUGUUUUCACUGCUUAACAUGCUCUCUCCAUAUUAACUAAUUUCAACUCCAUAACAGUCACAGGAUUUAUAUACAUUUAUAUAUUGUAACUAGUCCCAUUUUGAAGAUGAGCACACUGAGGCACUAAAAGCCUAAUAUUGUUUCUCCCAUAAAUGUGUUUCACUGAGAACCAGCCAAUCUGGUUCUCAGUACAAAUCUGAUGAAUCCAAGCCAGAUUCUAGAAAGUGUGUUUAUCCUUAGAGUCUAUCUUCAGCCACAGUGAUUACUGAAUUACUGUCUGGAUACUGAACAGUUUUAUUAUAAAGAAAUUUUUUUAAAAAAUCUCCUUCCCCAGUGACCUAAUAAAAAGUACUCUGUGCCCAAAGGCCUACUCUUGGCCAUCUUCACCAGCCAGCCACACUUCAGGCACUGCCUAAGGGGUGCAAGCCAGGACCCAGUUCCAAGCUGUGCAACUGUGACUUACAAGGUGGAGGAUGGGGAUGCAAGAGUGUGAUAGGGCCUUUGACAAAGGAGAGUUAGUUGUUGGUUACUGAAUAUGAGCCCCAUGUUUCUAAAAGCAGAAACUGUUUUUGUUCUUCUCCUAUUAUACCUUUUUUAUUUAGGAGCUAAAUAAUAAGCAAAGUGUUAUAUAAUCAUGUAUUAGUUACUUAUUUCAAUUUUUCUACAAAGAGAUAAAUAAAUAUUCAUUAAAAACGUAGAGUGUAAAUCUUGAAACUGUUAUUUCGAUGUAUCACCUCAAUGUGUUGGGUGAUAUGAACCUACUAUGUGCAGACAUAGGAGUUACAGUGGAAAAUAGAACAUGACUUGGAUGGGCCCUCCUCUCUCAGAGCUCAGGCAAAGGCCACAACUCCAACAAUGAUGUUUUACUAAUUACUGGGGACAAAGUGUUAUGAACAUGGCUUGAUUACUUAUCCCUCUGCUCUCUUCUGAAAAGAUGUAUUUCAUUUUAAUAACAGAAAAUCCUUCAAAGCAAAUGUUACAAAGUAAAAGUCAUGUUGGUUUUUAAGCAUAUGCAACUUAGGAUAGUGAGUGAAGCAUUGAACUGGAAUGGAGUGGGAAACAGGCAAUAUUUUUUGUGCAGCUCUCUCAGAAGCCACUACACCUCAACAUCCAGAUGUAACAAAGCCAAGAAUUUUCUUUUUGCAUUUGACCAUUUCCCUUUUAAGAGAUAUAGGUAUAUUUAGAAGAAACUGAAGCUCAGAGAAGUUAAGUAAGUUGCCUAGUGUUCCCCAGCUAGUAAACUCAGAGAAACAGGAUUCUAAUCUAUGUUUUUGACAGCCACACCAGUUGUUCCCAGUUGACAGUUACAUGGUUGUUUCUAAUUGCCCCAUAUUUCCAUCUGUAAGAGUUACAAGGAUUUCUUUUCUCUUGGUUUGAGUGUAGGAUAACUAAGCAAUAAUUCUCCAUGACACUUUUUAGCUACUAAAAAUAUAUUACCCAUAUUACAUGUAUAAAUGUUUAAAAAGGCAAGAAAAUAAUAACUCACAACAUACCAGCUGCAAAUUUCUUGUUAACAUUUUCUUAUGUAUCCUUCCAAUCUACCUUCUCUUGUACAUAUAGAGUUUCAAAUAAGUAGGUUAUCUUUGUUUUGUUUAAAAACAAU